rnacentral:rRNA from 2 species
GGUUAAGCGACUAAGCGUACACGGUGGAUGCCCUGGCAGUCAGAGGCGAUGAAGGGCGUGCUAAUCUGCGAUAAGCGCCGGUAAGGUGAUAUGAACCGUUAUAACCGGCGAUACCCGAAUGGGGAAACCCAGUGUGAUUCGUCACACUAUCAUUAACUGAAUCCAUAGGUUAAUGAGGCGAACCGGGGGAACUGAAACAUCUAAGUACCCCGAGGAAAAGAAAUCAACCGAGAUUCCCCCAGUAGCGGCGAGCGAACGGGGAGGAGCCCAGAGCCUGAAUCAGCAUGUGUGUUAGUGGAAGCGUCUGGAAAGGCGCGCGAUACAGGGUGACAGCCCCGUACACAAAAGCGCAUGUGCUGUGAGCUCGAUGAGUAGGGCGGGACACGUGGUAUCCUGUCUGAAUAUGGGGGGACCAUCCUCCAAGGCUAAAUACUCCUGACUGACCGAUAGUGAACCAGUACCGUGAGGGAAAGGCGAAAAGAACCCCGGCGAGGGGAGUGAAAAAGAACCUGAAACCGUGUACGUACAAGCAGUGGGAGCACCCUUUGGGUGUGACUGCGUACCUUUUGUAUAAUGGGUCAGCGACUUAUAUUCUGUAGCAAGGUUAACCGAAUAGGGGAGCCGGAGGGAAACCGAGUCUUAACCGGGCGUUAAGUUGCAGGGUAUAGACCCGAAACCCGGUGAUCUAGCCAUGGGCAGGUUGAAGGUUGGGUAACACUAACUGGAGGACCGAACCGACUAAUGUUGAAAAAUUAGCGGAUGACCUGUGGCUGGGGGUGAAAGGCCAAUCAAACCGGGAGAUAGCUGGUUCUCCCCGAAAGCUAUUUAGGUAGCGCCUCGUGAAUUCAUCUCCGGGGGUAGAGCACUGUUUCGGCUAGGGGGCCAUCCCGGCUUACCAACCCGAUGCAAACUGCGAAUACCGGAGAAUGUUAUCACGGGAGACACACGGCGGGUGCUAACGUCCGUCGUGAAGAGGGAAACAACCCAGACCGCCAGCUAAGGUCCCAAAGUCAUGGUUAAGUGGGAAACGAUGUGGGAAGGCCCAGACAGCCAGGAUGUUGGCUUAGAAGCAGCCAUCAUUUAAAGAAAGCGUAAUAGCUCACUGGUCGAGUCGGCCUGCGCGGAAGAUGUAACGGGGCUAAACCAUGCACCGAAGCUGCGGCAGCGACACUGUGUGUUGUUGGGUAGGGGAGCGUUCUGUAAGCCUGUGAAGGUGUGUCGUGAGGCAUGCUGGAGGUAUCAGAAGUGCGAAUGCUGACAUAAGUAACGAUAAAGCGGGUGAAAAGCCCGCUCGCCGGAAGACCAAGGGUUCCUGUCCAACGUUAAUCGGGGCAGGGUGAGUCGACCCCUAAGGCGAGGCCGAAAGGCGUAGUCGAUGGGAAACGGGUUAAUAUUCCCGUACUUGGUGUUACUGCGAAGGGGGGACGGAGAAGGCUAUGUUGGCCGGG